GGCAGCACGGACUUCGGUCUGGUGGCGAGUGGCGAACGGGUGAGUAAUGUAUCGGAACGUACCUUUCAGUGGGGGAUAACGUAGCGAAAGUUACGCUAAUACCGCAUAUUCUGUGAGCAGGAAAGCAGGGGAUCGCAAGACCUUGCGCUGAUUGAGCGGCCGAUAUCAGAUUAGCUAGUUGGUGGGGUAAAGGCCUACCAAGGCUACGAUCUGUAGCGGGUCUGAGAGGAUGAUCCGCCACACUGGAACUGAGACACGGUCCAGACUCCUACGGGAGGCAGCAGUGGGGAAUUUUGGACAAUGGGGGCAACCCUGAUCCAGCCAUGCCGCGUGAGUGAAGAAGGCCUUCGGGUUGUAAAGCUCUUUCGGCCGGGAAGAAAUCGCAUAGGUUAAUACCCUGUGUGGAUGACGGUACCGGAAUAAGAAGCACCGGCUAACUACGUGCCAGCAGCCGCGGUAAUACGUAGGGUGCGAGCGUUAAUCGGAAUUACUGGGCGUAAAGCGUGCGCAGGCGGUUUCGUAAGACAGAGGUGAAAUCCCCGGGCUCAACCUGGGAACUGCCUUUGUGACUGCGAAGCUAGAGUACGGCAGAGGGGGGUGGAAUUCCACGUGUAGCAGUGAAAUGCGUAGAGAUGUGGAGGAACACCGAUGGCGAAGGCAGCCCCCUGGGCCGAUACUGACGCUCAGCACGAAAGCGUGGGUAGCAAACAGGAUUAGAUACCCUGGUAGUCCACGCCCUAAACGAUGUCAACUAGGUGUUGGGUGGGUAAAACCAUUUAGUACCGUAGCUAACGCGUGAAGUUGACCGCCUGGGGAGUACGGCCGCAAGGUUAAAACUCAAAGGAAUUGACGGGGACCCGCACAAGCGGUGGAUGAUGUGGAUUAAUUCGAUGCAACGCGAAAAACCUUACCUACCCUUGACAUGUUCAGAAUCCCGGAGAGAUUUGGGAGUGCCCGAAAGGGAGCUGGAACACAGGUGCUGCAUGGCUGUCGUCAGCUCGUGUCGUGAGAUGUUGGGUUAAGUCCCGCAACGAGCGCAACCCUUGUCGUUAAUUGCCAUCAUUUAGUUGGGCACUUUAACGAGACUGCCGGUGACAAACCGGAGGAAGGUGGGGAUGACGUCAAGUCCUCAUGGCCCUUAUGGGUAGGGCUUCACACGUCAUACAAUGGUCGGUACAGAGGGUUGCCAAGCCGCGAGGUGGAGCCAAUCCCAGAAAGCCGAUCGUAGUCCGGAUUGCAGGCUGCAACUCGCCUGCAUGAAGUCGGAAUCGCUAGUAAUCGCGGAUCAGC
rnacentral:rRNA from 1 species